rnacentral:rRNA from 1 species
GGAUUAGGCAUGCAAGUCGAGCGAGAAUCUUUCGCUCCAAGUUUUCGAACGAGAAGUGAAAGAGGAAAGCGGCGAAAGGGUGAGGAACACGUGGGUAAUUUACCCCCAAGUUGGGCAUAGCCCGGCGAAAGCCGGAUUAAUUCCGGAUGUGGUCUUCCUUCGCAUGGAGGAAUAUCUAAAGGAGGGGACCCUUCGGGGCCUUUCGGUUGGGGAUGAGUCUAUGUCCUAUUAGCUUGUUGGUGGGGUAACGGCCCACCAAGGCGAUGACGGGUAGUCGGCCUUAGAGGGUAGUCGGCCACGCUGGAACUGAGACACUGUCCAGACUUCUACGGAAGGCUGCAGUCGAGAAUCUUUCGCAAUGCCCGAAAGG